rnacentral:rRNA from 1 species
GAUCCUGGCUUAGAUUGAACGCUGGCGGCAUGCCUACACAUGCAAGUCGAACGGUAACAGGUCUUCGGAUGCUGACGAGUGGCGAACGGGUGAGUAAUACAUCGGAACGUGCCCAGACGUGGGGGAUAACGAGGCGAAAGCUUUGCUAAUACCGCAUACGAUCUAAGGAUGAAAGCAGGGGACCGCAAGGCCUUGCGCGUUUGGAGCGGCCGAUGGCAGAUUAGGUAGUUGGUGGGAUAAAAGCUUACCAAGCCGACGAUCUGUAGCUGGUCUGAGAGGACGACCAGCCACACUGGGACUGAGACACGGCCCAGACUCCUACGGGAGGCAGCAGUGGGGAAUUUUGGACAAUGGGCGAAAGCCUGAUCCAGCAAUGCCGCGUGCAGGAUGAAGGCCUUCGGGUUGUAAACUGCUUUUGUACGGAACGAAAAGGCUCUGGCUAAUACCUGGGGCACAUGACGGUACCGUAAGAAUAAGCACCGGCUAACUACGUGCCAGCCGCGGC